AACGAACGCUGGCGGCAUGCCUAACACAUGCAAGUCGAACGAGACCUUCGGGUCUAGUGGCGCACGGGUGCGUAACGCGUGGGAACCUGCCCUUAGGUUCGGAAUAACUCCCCGAAAGGGGUGCUAAUACCGGAUAAUGUCUUCGGACCAAAGAUUUAUCGCCUUUGGAUGGGCCCGCGUUGGAUUAGCUAGUUGGUAGGGUAAAAGCCUACCAAGGCGACGAUCCAUAGCUGGUCUGAGAGGAUGAUCAGCCACACUGGGACGGAGACACGGCCCAGACUCCUACGGGAGGCGGCAGUGGGGAAUAUUGGACAAGGGGCGAAAGCGUGAGCCAGCAAUGCCGCGUGAGUGAUGAAGGCCUUAGGGUUGUAAAGCUCUUUUACCCGGGAUGAUAAUGACAGUACCGGGAGAAUAAGCUCCGGCUAACUCCG
rnacentral:rRNA from 1 species